AUGAGCUCCGCAUCACCUCCUCCUUCUAGUCGCCUCACCACCGCCCAACUGGAGAAGCUGGUGAAGGAACGCCAUCGAUUGGGACGCAACACUACCCAACUCUCCUUUGCUUUUCAGCCGGAAGAAUGGGGCUCUGAUGCCGUCACCUUUGCCAUCCUGAUUGAUUGCUGCUGCCGCAUGAACCUCGUGGAUUUGCGUUUCGGUGUACUCGGUAGCAUGCUGAAGCGCGACUGCAGUUCGACGACCGUAAUAUUCGGUACCCUCAUCAGAGGGCUCUGUCCGGAGAAGAGGAUCGGGGACGCCGCCAACCUGUUUGAGAUAAUGCCUGAGAUGGGUUGCGUACUUGAUCUGAUCACAUACAAUAUUUUCAUCAAGGGUCUUUGCGAUAACGGGAACACGGGCAGGGCACUUUGAUUGCAUCAGAAGGUUUGUGAAGGUGUUGCACCAGAUGCUGUAACUUAUGGUGCGAUCAUCAGUGGCCUCUGCAAAGAGGGAUUUUUGGAGAAGGCUUUCAAGAUAUUUCAAGAAAUGGUUGCUCUAGGGUAUAUGCCAAGUGUUUUGACAUACAGUGUACUAAUCAGUGCCCAUUGCAAAGUCGGUGCUGUGAGUAAGGCCUUUGAAAUGUUUCAGCAAAUGGUUGUUACAGGUGUCGAGCCAGACAUCGUCACGUAUACUUCUCUUAUUCAUGGAGAUUCUAGUUUAGGGAAGGCUGGUGAAGCACAUAAGCUAUGGAUCCAAUGAUUGUGAGAGGUAAUGAGCCUAACAUUAGGUCCUAUAAUUUAUUAAUGCACGAAUAUGUUUUGGAAGGUCACCUUAAUGAUGCAGCAAAAGUUGUUAAUUCCAUGGUGCAAGAGGGACUUGAGCUCAAUGUUCAUAGUUAUGGAAUCCUGAUUAGUGCAUGUUGUAAGAAUGGGAGAAUGAAUGAGGCCAUGUCUUUGUUUAAUGAAAUGAUAGGUGAAGGAGUGACACCUAAUGUUGUUAUUUACAGUACUAUCUUCGACAGAUAUUGCAAGAUUGGGCAACUUUCAGAAGAUCGUACACUCUUCAAUGACAUGAUUGAUCAAGGGCUGAAACCUGGUGUCUACAGUUAUAGUUCGUUGAUCUGGGGCAAUUGCAAAUCUGGUGAGUGGAAAGAAGUCAAUAAUUUACUUGAACAGAUGAAAGAUCAAGGAGUUUAUCCAGAUGAUGUGUCUUUUAAUAUAUUAAUUGAUGCUCUAUGUAAAGAUGAGAAAGCCAACGAAGCACAAAAGCUAGUGGGUAUGAUGACUCAAGGAGGUGUAUUGAAACCCACAGUGAUAUCUUAUAACAGUGUUAGAUGGAUUGUAUCAGACUGAUAAAAUUGGUGCAGUAAGAGAUAUUUCCAGUGCUAUUCUCACGGAAGACUUGAAGCCAGAUGUUAUAGCAUACACUUUCUUACCUGAGAAAAAAGAGGUGAUGAAAACAAUUUCUGUAAUUUCUCUUAAAAUAUGCUUGUUUUCGAAGGAUGGAAGAUUUCGAUAGCAUUUGAAAUUGCUUCCUGUGUUUUGUCAAGAUUGUAAACAAGGUCAAUGAUAUAGUAGGAAUGUCUCAAUUACAUGCUCCACUGUCAGCUUACAAUUUUAUUUUCUAUGUACAUUAUUUCGAUUUUUAUUUCUUGCCAUAUCUUUUAUCUUAGCUUUCUACACAAAUAUUAAUGGA